rnacentral:lncRNA from 1 species
UUCGUAAGUAGAAGCCCGCCAAAGUUUGCGGUUGUUCCCCUCCGGAAGAAGCCUGUUACAUUCACGCCACCACUGAGAACAUUCCCCUGCUUGCAUCGUGCGGAGUCCUUGAUAUCUUGGCGAUUUCCUGUCGAGCGGAACACUUUGUGUAUUCGCAGGUUGAACCGGAAACAGAGCACGCGCGCCAGCAGCAACUGUCUGUGUCCAGUCAACCCACCAGCAGCGGGGAUGGCCCCAGCAGUAAUAGCGGCGCCAUGUGUGGCGAUAGCUCGAGUCUGGGCAUGGGCCAAUCGAGCCGCAGCGGAGCGUUUCGGAGCUUCAGCGCAAAUGACCUUCAGGUGCUUUUGUUGGGAUGGGGACCUAAACGCGUCUAUUUAUUUAUGCUCAGCCAGUAUUUGGUGCAUCCACUCGCCACGGCAAUUUCCCUUCCUCGGCGGUACUAGCUAGCUGUAUACGCUGGCCUACACUCCUUAGCCAUGGAC